CUCCGCCUCCUGCUUGUACGUCCACAAAGACGCGCAUUCACCUCCGAGCGGGAAGCAGCCGCGUUUCAACAGCAAACCCUCCCAAGCACCUCUCCGGCUCCCCAGCUGUGAGAGCUGACUCUUCAAACCGGCGCUUUGAGCGUCCACGCUUGGCCGUGCCAAAAAAGUAACGACGGGAAGUGAACAAAGGACAUGUCAAGGAUCUGAGGAGAUUCCCCUCUCUACGCACCGCCCGAGCCGCUCGGCCCGCGUUGCUCACUGUCCCUGGGGCUGCUGACGAGUGGUGAACCAAACUCUUCCCUUUUUCUUCUGGCGAGGUCGCUUUAACGAGAGGAAAAAUAACGCUUUACUCUCGCACCGAGCUGGAGCUUGUUUUUAAUAGUGUUAGGAGCAAUCCUAACUGCUGGAAUUUUCUCCAAAGGGAAGACUGAUUUUUGACUUCACAUGUGGCAGCUCAUGAAGCAGAUAGGCUGUAAAGACCAGGAGGGUCAUGCUACUAGUAGCAGAGCAGUGAGCACUCACUCCUAGUUCCCCAGGUACAACGUACCCACAGAGGCUUUCCUUUUUUUCUUUCUUUCUUUUCUUCUCUUUUUUUCCCCCAAGUUGCUCUAUGGAUGUAAGCGUUGAGGGUGCGUGUCUAUACUUGGGACUACAGGGAGACACAGAAAGCAUCCAGCGCACUGUGCAGUUUUGAUUGCAGCCCCCAGGACAAGGUUGGAGCAGUACCUGGGGCUUGUCUGCAGAUUCUACUUUAUUCUAGCACAUGAAGGCUCCCAUAGGUGUUGGAACUGAUAGAGUGGGUAAAGCUUGCUAAUAAGUAGGGUGGUUGGAAGCAAACUGCUGUAGCCUUCUCUUACAGUGAAGAUUUGACACACCUGAAAGAAGAUUAUAUCUAAAGAGGUAGCAGGUGAGCUUGUUGCCUGUUCUCAGCUGGAAUCUAAGGAUAAGGAGAGACCUGAUUUUUUUCACUAAGUUCAGUCAACUGGUGGCUCAUAAGUUGUGAUGGGUUUUGGUGUUCACAGGCAGAAGCAGUUGAUAUGUAAUAAAACACACAACUUUACACAGUUUUUUCUCUUCCUUCAUAGGUUGGCAAAGCUGUGAUUUUAGCAUUACUUAAUCUGCUGGAACUGUAUCAGCACUAAUAAUCAUAUCUCAUGCUGCUCCCUGAACAACUUUGGCUUCUCUGCAGCUCCUUGGAUUUCCCCUUUAAACAGAACUUUUUAUCUGAUUCUUUAGCACAGACACGGAACCAUAUAUCUGAAAGAGAUGGAGGGAUAUGUUCUGGUCUUCUGUGUGUACGUUCUGUUCAGAACAUUCUGAGAGCUCAGAAUAUCAUCAGAGCCAGAGGGAGACAUAAAAGAAAUAUACUGGAGACAGGAGAAUGAGACAUGCCGCAGAAGAAACAGUGUGGCUGCCCUUGAAUGCCUGGUGAUGGCAUAUUGUGCUUUGCUGUCAGUCUGUUGACUCAUGUACACUUCAAAAGAGCUCUCAGGAGAGGCAGUUAUGCGAGUCACUGCCUGAUGCACUGUAAAUCAUGGCUGUGCUUUUUUUGUUAUUUGAAUGGGCCUCGAGUGAGCCUAAUGCUGUUUUGAAAGAUCAUCUAAUGUCAUUGGAACUCAGGGAUUUCAAUGAAUGUGGGACAGAGGAUGAGGGAAUACUCGCCCUCAUGGACAAGAUUAGUCAGAGCUACUUCAGGAUUGUCUGGUCAUCUCUUCUUUAGUAUCAUGUGCUGCAGGUCAAAGCGAAUAAAGCGGUAAGAAUCAGGAGCUUCAUGGAGGUUAUGCUGAACAGAGGUGUAUCCAAAAUCUUAGUGUGCUCUCGCCUCCAUGUCCUCUCUCUUGAAGCUGUACCCCUGAGAUUUGAUGAAAAAGCAGGACAAGAGCUUUAGAGAGUUGGUGCAGGGAUUGGUACUGUCAGAUGCUUUUUUGUCAUCGCCUUUCCUCUUAAGAACAAACAAAUGCUUCCCCUCUAAGGAGUAAGGCAGUAAAGGGAUACCAGGUGGCACUGAAUAAACUGUGAAAUGCUGCAGUCAGAAUGCUGUAGUAGAACCACAUCAGGAAUUUUAGUCCAGAUUCCUAAGGAAAGAACUUUUACACUAUUGUGUUGCUUUCGUCUGAUGGUCUGCAGGAUAUCUCCAUAAUUUUAAAAGUAGGCCAGCUUCAAAUAAACUUUGCAGAAUGGAAGAGGCUUGUUGUUCUUAAUGAAGAUGAUUGAGGGGGUCAAGGUGAAUCUCCCCACAGAAGGAAAGGUUUAGAUUGGAGUUCAGGUGUGUUCUUAGUGACAAACCAACAAGGGGGAAAUUUUGAAUGCCCUGUGUACAAGAAAAACUUUGAACAAAGUUUGCAUUCUAGUUGAAAUGGGAUGGUAAAAACAUGAGAUGCAAAGCUAUAGGUAACUCUGAAAAGCAUUUUACUUUCUCUGUUUGUAAAGUUGAAAUUGUGCUGCUUACAGUUACAAACUGGAAAUUCAGAGCACAGAACCAACUAUGUAAAGACUUGCAGAACCAUAUUAAACCACAAUAUCGAAGACAAAGAUUAUUUCUGAACCUCUGAUGCUGUCAAUUCAGGAGUUCCCAGGGCUAUCUGGUUUGCCUUUUGCUUUGCUGCUGAGAAUGGAAGAAAUCACAUCUCUUGAGACUGCUGCGGGGAUUGUUUUGAGCUAUUUUAAAAUUCACAGGAGAUAGUUAAGAAAUUCACUUUCUUAUGUUGCUUUACAAAACCUAGGAGUAUUAUUUUAGAUGUCCUUCAGUGAUACUGUGAUUUCCAUAUACUUUAAGAAUAG
ensembl:lncRNA